UAGGUUCAUAUAAAAUGUUCCAUAAUAAAGCUUGAAAUACGAGUACAAACCAAAUGAUCCAUAUCUUCUCUACACUGAAUUAUCUCUCAACGAACAUAUUAUGUGCAAUACUUUCCAUUUGGGCAAAUCUACGUACCUACCUACCUAACUAACUAAUGAGAUUUUCCUGACGUAAUAGUAAACGGUUUUUAUUUCCAUUUCAUCAUUUAGAAUCACAUUUGUACAAAAUCCAACAAUAUUUUGCUGAAUUAGUUUUUUCAGAUGAUACGUCUUGUGGCUUAUCGUAAAACGUCCAAGUGUACAUGCAGUUCUGCGGAGGAAUUUACUUUGCUUCCAAAGUGACCAAUUAUCAAGAAAGUGAAUCGCGAUGAGACGCAGCGCAGCAUCUUCGCCUCUUCGGUUCUUAAAACCAGACAAACGUGAAAAAAUACCCAUCAUCGAGGGGAAUCUUGAACUUCUUCUCGAUGGAAUGAAUGCGUUUAUGAGAGAUGUGAUUUUCAGAGAUUUUCAUUUUUUUUUUACAGAAUAAUUCAAGGAGCAGUGGGUCUCAUACUCGUAUUUACAUUUAAUAUAAAUAUCGAUAAUUUGAUACCGCGUGACUGAGACUUAAUCGAUAGGCUAAAAUGAUAGUCACGCUUAUGUAGCGGAAUAUUUUUCGAGGAUAGCAACAUAUUGAA